CAAACUAAUAUAAGAGCUAUUAUUUAGAGCUCUCUAAAUAAAAGAAAAUACAGGUUACCAAUUUAAAAGCACAUCUGGUAUUUUUACUGUAUUUUAUGUAUGAAUUAAAAAUAUUAUUUGUAUAUUACAUUGAGAAUUACUUCAACUGCCAUGAAUGGAAAAAGAAAAUAUUGUGAGAUGCUUUGGAACAUUCUUGGGACAAUUGUACACUUGAUUAAAUACAAUGGAAAGGACAUUUCGUUAAGUGCAUAAAUUGGAUUCAGUGAACUGACCAGCACAAAGAAUUAUGUUGAAAAGCAUGAAAAAGUAACCAUGGUAGCAGCUCCAAGGAAGAUGGUUAAAUAAAUCUUCAACCAAGUCUGAGGCUUUACCAAGAAAAUAAGAAGGCAAGUUUAAUUAAGUCAAACAAGUUCUAUACAUUCUAUACAUUAUUUGAUAAAAAGUGUAUAUUUAGAGCAUACAACGCAGUUACAGUGGAGAAAGUGAUGUUGCUAACGUAAAAUGUUAUUUUUUGCCUUUCAAUGGGAGAUAACUCAUUGUAAAAUGUGCAGAUGAUUUACCUUUAUGAACAAUAAAAUAUGUUUAAACCAUUAUUUUUGUGGAGUUGAAAUUCAAUAAGUAAAUUUAUAAGACUUUUUUUUUAUUUUUCAUCUUUUACAUUGAUUUUACAGUUAUUGAUGUUAUACUUUUGUGUACACGUAGUCAGAAAUCUGAACAAUAUUGGUAAAUGUAGGGGAAAUGGAAAUAUAAAGUAUAUAAAUUGUCAAUUUUUUAUAUUUUAGGUUCUUUCUGUGAGAUGUUUUCAUGGUGUGGGAAUAAGACUUGGUGGUCUAAUACAGCUAAUAUAUAGGUAGGUACCAGUAUACAGUUUCGAAAAGAAGAAAGAAAAAAAAGAUAAAUGUAGUACAUGUAUAAAAAAUAAUUAGAUCCAUUUUUUACUUUCCUUGCCUUGAAAUAAUCAAACACUAAAUUUCUGUUAUUUAUUUCUACCUCUCUUUUGAUAUCAGUACAAAUACAAUGUAUAGUGUAAAUUGAAGGAUCUAACAUGAUUAUUUGGUUUGUUAUGUUGUUGGAUUGCUGUCUAGUCAAUAUGUUCUCAACAUCUAGUACAUGAAUAUAACCCAUUUCUUUUUAAUUUUAAUACAGUAACAAGUGAUCCUUUUAAACCAUUUUAUUAAUAAUAUGACAACAUUUUAUAUUUCAGAUUAGCUUCACAGCUUGUCUGUAAGGAUUGAAGUUGGGAAUGGGCAUUGGAGCUGGCUUUUAUGGUAAGAACCAGUACAUAAAUUAAUGAAUUAUUCAGCAAAGAGCAUGUACAAACCUAGUUCUUCAUUAUGCUAAGAAGUAUUAUACUUUAAUUAUGCAGAGAAGUAGUAUACUUUAAUUUUUCUUAAAACUAUAAUCGUAUAUAUAAUCUGGAAGGAGGACAUUAGGAGGUAUGAAGAUAAAUAAAGGAAAUAAAAAAUUAUACUGUUACUUAGAAAAUCUGUUUUCUAAAAUUGUCCCAUAUAAAGUAAGAAGAUCAUUGUCAAUGAAAUAACUCUCCCAGAGACCAAAUGACAUGGAUGUAAGCAACUAAUGGUCACUGUAUGGCCUACAACAAUGAGCAAAACAUAUACUUUACAAUUAACUAUGAAACAGAAAGUAGGCGACAUGAAAAAAUGUGAAACAAUUCAAACAAGAAAACCAACAGCUAGAUUUAUGAUGAAACAAUGAAAUAAUAACAAAUAUGUUGGACAACAACCAACUACUUGUCAUCCCUUGUUUGCUAAAGAAGACUGGUUGUUUGUAAAUUCAUGUCAACACAUCACUUUAAAACAAAGUAAAUCAAUUUUCUAUGCAUCAUCAGUGCAAUAACCAGUUACUUUGCAUUGAAUAUUGUUCUGACAGAUAUUAGAAUGCAUAUUUCUUUUUCAGGUGACUUCAACUGUGGCUGCAGGAAAUUAUUGUGCAAUACAACUGAAACAAAAAAGAAUGUAAUUCAGACUAUUUUUGUGUAUGUUUGAAAAAAUGUUUAUAAUUUUUAUCACAAAUAAAAAAAAAAAAAUGUAAAGAUUCUCCAUUUUCAGCAAGACUGGAAGUUGUAUGCUAAAUUGAUACUUCAGAAUUUUACAAUAUUACUUGUAGACCUACUUGAGACUAUCUUAAUAAUGGUC
rnacentral:lncRNA from 1 species